rnacentral:lncRNA from 1 species
AUCAUUGAGACUGCUGAUUGCACUCUUAUAAUGUUGUACGCACGAGGUGUAUGCUUUCUUCAUAGUGGGGUUGGUUGCUGUCUUGACUAGGGAUUGAAUUUUCUUGAAACCUUCUGAUGCACUUGUUUGUGCAGAACCAAAGGUGAUCUUUGCUAGCGUUUGAAGAUCAGCACCUGAGGUCUUUGGGUUGGAUUUCAUGUAGCUAGUGCAGAAGGAUUGGUUUUUCGCUUUCCCACAGAUUGCUUUUAUGUCUGCUACUUGUGCAUUCAAGGCACCAAUCAUUACAAAAAACAUCAGAGAAGACACAAUAACUCUGUUCAUCAGGUAUGCUGCCAUCUUUGCUUUUUUCUUUUUUAUGUUCUUUGAUAGAUGAUUAAGUUAUUCCCUUACUAUGCCUGAGUGUUCAUAUUUAUAGAUACUCGCGAUUGAUUGCUUCCACUAGAACUAAUAAUAGAAAUUCUUGGAAUGGGUUGUUGCUCUUUCUGAUUCUUAGUUAGACCACAAGUCCUAAUAUAAGAGAGAGAAACACUUUGCUAUUCUUAGCAUUAGUGCAGAGAUUAGUUAUCUGAUUAGUAUUCUUCUAACUUACUUUCCUGACCUCUCUUCUUUAGGUAGAUUUGCAUUCACGAAUAUGUGUUCAUGAUUUUUGGCACUAAUAAAGUUUUACUGUAGGCAAAUAUUAAAGGUUAUGUGGAUAUAAUUGUCAUAAUUUACACCAGAAGUAACGAGAGAUGGAAGUUUUUUCAUUCUAAGCUAAGAUGCAAGACAUAAUAGUUGACUAAGAAUUUAUUCAUUUAUUGGUUUUUAAGUUACUACAACAGAGUGAAUGACAUUGAAGGGUUUCUGCCAUCUUGCAGGUGAAAGAUACAUAAAGAAUCAAGAAGUCAAAACGUCGGAGAAAACCCUAUCAAUGUUACACAUUCUUUUAAAAAAUGAAUUGAGUUUCGCUACAUAAUCCGGCACAUUAACCCGUCCUUCAAACUGAGCUUCACACACUGAUAUACUAAUGAAGGCUUUAGCAGCCCCUUGAGAUGCUAACGGGUACGCCUUAGAGGUCACAAACCCUUGAGCUUCCUCGAUCGCUUUAAUGGCUACUUCAUAAUCUUUCACGCAAGUCUCAAAUGGGAUCUUGAGCGUCGGAUCAGUCGUGGUUCUCACUGAGCCUUUCAUCGCCGCUAGGCUCUUAUAGCCCAACAAUUGCGUCUUUUGGAAGACCAAAUCGAGAAGACCUUGUAGGUCGAGGGUGAAUGUUGUUGGAUCAGAGUUUAGCCAAGGGAUGCAGAAGUAGCUGUCAAUGUUCGGUUUUGUGCAGAGUUGGUAAAGUAAUCCUUUUGUGACUUUGUCACUCGGAGACAAAGAUGAAGACAAAGGGGUGACUGAUAGAAGAACGAGUAGAGGAAGAAGUGAAAAUACGUUUCUUUUGACGCAAGGAUAAGCCAUUUUCUUGGCUGCGGAAAGAUAAUUAUGCGUAUACUUAGAGGUGGGAGGUUCUUAUUGCAUACUAAUAUACAUAGUUUUUGUAUGACAAAAGUCAAGCUUUAGCUUGGUGUUGUUAAUGAAAUGUUACCCAAAUUUGUUUUUCAUAGUCAAUUGUUGACUCAAAUUAAUGUGGGAACGAACAAUUCAGGGGGCUAAUUAAUCACCUUCUAUGGAAUUAUUCUUUAAUUCAAUAUAAUUGGCAAUCCACCAUUAUUAUUCAAUUGAAUAAGUUAAGAAAAAAAUCUUUGAAUUAUUAAUCAUGCCAUUUUUAAAACAAAAUAAAAUCUUACACUUUCAGGAAAUUUUUAUUUGAAAAGAUUUCAAAAUUUUGGGUUAUCUAUUUAUAUCAUAUCAUACAAAAUUCUCAAAUCGAAACAUAAGAAUUCUUUGAAUGAAUGUCCGUAUUCCGAACUUUGUUUUGUAUCUUCUUUUGAGUAUUUUUAUCGUACUAUUCAACUACCGUUUUUGUAACCUUUUAUGACAAUGGUAAAUAUCUUGAGAGCAUAAUACAUAUGAAAGGAAACGCACCAUGUCGAGGGUCAGGGCCGGCCCAGACCUAAAGCCCAGCAAGCAGAUGCUUUAGGCGUCAAAUUCUAUAUGUAUUUUAAAGGGCAUCAAAAUUAUAAAAGUGUCUUGUAGUCUAGUGGUAUUUAGGUCACUUAAGGAUAGAUUGUUGAGGGUUCGAUCCCUGGCAACUGUAAAUUUUAAUUUUUUUUUAUUUUUAGUUGUUGUAAAUGGGCAUCAAAUUUUGUUGGGCUUUAGGUAUCAUGAAUCUUUGGGCCGGCCCUGUCGAGGGUUAUCUAUAUAUAUACAAAAUUCCCAAAUCUAAACAUAAGAAUUCUCUUGCAAUUAAAGAGACUUGUUUUGUUAUCAAAUAGCUACUCUUGCAAAUUGUUGCUGUAAUUGGAAAUUAAACAUGUCUUCUUGUCAAUGAUGCAGCAAAGAGCUACUUGAGACCAAAUUGAUGUAUGCCAUAAGGGUUAGGGCCAAUCCACUCAUUGCCAAUUUGUAUUUAUAUCAUAUCAUACAAAAUUCUCAAAUCGAAACAUAAGAAUUCUUUGAAUGAAUGUCCGUAUUCCGAACUUUGUUUUGUAUCUUCUUUUGAGUAUUUUUAUCGUACUAUUCAACUACCGUUUUUGUAACCUUUUAUGACAAUGGUAAAUAUCUUGAGAGCAUAAUACAUAUGAAAGGAAACGCACCAUGUCGAGGGUUAUCUAUAUAUAUACAAAAUUCCCAAAUCUAAACAUAAGAAUUCUCUUGCAAUUAAAGAGACUUGUUUUGUUAUCAAAUAGCUACUCUUGCAAAUUGUUGCUGUAAUUGGAAAUUAAACAUGUCUUCUUGUCAAUGAUGCAGCAAAGAGCUACUUGAGACCAAAUUGAUGUAUGCCAUAAGCGCAGAAGCUGGUUUUGAUCUGGAUAACCACCCUGCAAAGGCAUGGGGAAAGCUAGCCUCCUCCCUUCAAUCUUCAAUUUCUUCGUUAGCAAAUAUGAAUACAAAUGCAGCAAAUAGCUUCCUUACUCCUGCCUUAAAUUGAGGGUGAACGUUGUUGGAUCAGAGUUAGCCAAGCGAUGCAGAAGUGGUUGUAAAUUGUUUGUUUUGACAGAGUUGGUAAAGUGACUCUUUUGUGACUUUGUUGCUCGAUGACAAAGAUGAAUACAAAUGAGUGAUUGAUAAAAGAAGGAGAAGAGGAAGAAUUGAAAAUACGUUUCUUUUCACGCAAGGAAAAGCCAUUGUCUUGGAUGUGGCGAAUAAUUAUGCGUAUACAUUAGAUGUGGGAAGUGCAUUCACAAAUAUGUGUUCAUGAUUUUUGGCACUAAGAAAGUUUUAGUGUAGGCAAAUAUUAAAGGUUAUGUGGAUAUAAUUGUCAUAAAUUUACACCAGAAGUAACCAGAGAUGAAAGUUUUUUUCAUUCUUAGCUAAGAUAUACUCCAACAGUUGACUAAAAUAUUUAUUCAUUUAUUGGUUUUUAAGUCAAAGCGUUGGAGAAAACCCUAUCAAUGUUACACAUUCUUUUAAAAAACAAAUUGAGUUUCACUACAUAAGCCGGCACAUCAGCCCGUCCUUCAAACUGAGCUUCACACACUGAUAUACUAAUGAAGGCUUUAGCAGCCCCUUGAGAUGCUAACGCGUACGCCUUAGAGGUCAGAAACCCUUGAGCUUCCUCGAUCGAUUUAAUGGCUGAUUCAUAAUCUUUCACGCAAGUCUCAAAUGGGAUCUUGAGC